rnacentral:lncRNA from 1 species
CACAGAAGGUUGGGCUCCCAUAGGUGUGGAUCUUAAAUUUGUGCUUGCUCCUGGGGUCAUCGGUGUCAGGUCCCUUGUCAGCUCCAGGACAGGAGAAGGUAACGAACUCAUGGCAUCUCUUAUGAACCACAAAACAGCAAACUUGGCACUGAAAUCCUUGUUUCCCAAAUCCCCAGAUGAAGUCGGUGCAGUGGCUGCAGAAGGUGGGCUGCUUGAAGAAGCGCGCGAUGAAUUUGUGCUCCUUCACCUCGUGCACGUUCUUCUGCCUCAGGGCCCCUUUGCGAGCAAAGCGCCGCGCCGCGUCCGGGGCCGCGCCGGGCUCGGAGCCCGGGAACACGUCGGCCAUGGCUCCCCGCUCUGCCCGCCGGGAGCCGCCCCGACGUCCGCCCCGUCCGGCGGCCGCCGAACCUCUGGCAACGCUGCGGCGGCGGCGGGCGCUGCCUCCCGCUCCCGAGCCUGAC